AUAACAUAAAUGUUACCUGAAAAAGUAAUUCUCGUUCAUAUUGUAAAUUUUCAUAAUAAUGUUCAUUGACACUGCUAACUAAACGACGUAAUCUGAGGUACAUAAAACGCUGCUGGUCUUUCCAAGAAUUUUCAUCAGACAAUAUAUUAAAUGAUAAAACUUGACGUCCUUCUGCAAGACAGUCUAGAACAUCUAUAGCUUUACAUCCGGACACCAAAACAGAUCUAAUCAUAAAAUUACUUUGUAAGUACAUAGAAAAUAAAAAUUAUAUUUGGAAAAGGAGGUAUUGUACAUUUAUCUUUUAUUCAUUUAUAUAUUUCUGCAUUUUAUCAUAUAAGUAUAUUUCUUUUUACCUGUUCACUUUGCAUUCAGAAUUUUUUUCAAAAUAGUUCAUAAAGCGCUUGCAAUCAGAUAUAAAGAAAAUAAUGCUAGAAUCUGGCGGAUGGAGCCCAAAUAAAGAAACAGGACAAUUUAUAGCACGAUGAAGCAAACUAUUUAAAUUAUCAAGCAGACUACCAGCAUAAAAACAAAGUCGUGAAAAUUUCUCUGGUUUUGAAGGAUGUGUAUAUCUCCAAGUUACAGCUCUGAGCAUCUUGUAUUGUGCCAUGACCAUUUCUAGGAUAUUGAAUACUCUGCUGAAGGUUAGUAGGUCAGCACCUGUCUUAACUUUCAUUAUCAUUGUUUCUGUAUGUUUCAUUGCACUUUCAAGUUUUGUACCAGCAAUAAGAAAUGAAGUAUUCAAAACUAUCGUAGCGACGUUCGAACAACGUCUGAAAAAAUCAUAUGGUCUUUUGAUUUAUUUGCUAUUAUUAUGUAUAAAUAUUAACCGGUAAUCACAUUUAAAAAUGCAAGUAUAAUAACUGAUUACAAAUAUGAAUCACCGAUUAAUACUUAUUCCUGUUAAUAAAUAAAUGAUGAUAGUGAUUAUAUCAACAUAUUUUUAUCAAGGUGAGAAUUUAUUAUAUUUCAAUGAAUAUUCGUUAGAUAUUCCACCUGGACACUAGACGAACUGCAGUAGCUACAUCAUGUAAGGGUAAUAAACGUAAUACUAUUUCUAAAACUUCUGGUGGAAGUGUGUCCAGAGUGUGGUAGUAAAAACUUUCAUCGACCGUAUGCUUUUGCAUAUUCUUCUGCUCUUUGCAUCUCGAUGAUGUUUUUCGACGCUUAUUUGGGUUCAUUUGAAAAGAAAUCCUAAUAAAAGCUAUGUUCUUAAUUUGGA